CUAGGAAUCUUGGGAAUGGGCGAAAGCCUGACCCAGCAACGCCGCGUGAGCGAUGAAGGCCUUCGGGUUGUAAAGCUCUUUUGCAGGGGAAGAUGAUGACGGUACCCUGCGAAUAAGCCACGGCUAACUACGUGCCAGCAGCCGCGGUAAUACGUAGGUGGCAAGCGUUGUCCGGAUUUACUGGGCGUAAAGGGCGUGCAGGCGGUCUGUUAAGUCUAGGGUGAAAGCUCCCGGCUCAACUGGGAGAGGUCCUUGGAUACUGGCGGACUUGAGGGAGGCAGAGGAAAGUGGAAUUCCCGGUGUAGUGGUGAUAUGCGUAGAUAUCGGGAGGAACACCAGUGGCGAAGGCGGCUUUCUGGGCCUUACCUGACGCUGAGACGCGAAAGCGUGGGGAGCGAACCGGAUUAGAUACCCCCGUAGUCC
rnacentral:rRNA from 1 species